rnacentral:misc_RNA from 1 species
GUGAAUCAUCGAAUCUUUGAGCGCAAAUUGCACUCUCUUCGGAGAGUAUGCCUGUUUGAGGGUCAGCCUAAAAAAAAAUCGACAUAGUCGCUUUUUCUCUGUGACAUUCGUCGGAAAUUGGGUCAUCUUAAACCUUUGGGUUUUAAGCGGCUGAAAAUUUUCUUUACGAUUUCACGAACGUUUCUAAGAUUUACUUCUUAUACGUUUAAUGUAUCGAUCUUUAUUAGACGUUGCCGUUGCAUCUAAUCUCGUCCAUAAAUAUUUCGUUAACUGACCUCAGACUGUUAAGAACACCCGCUGA